CUCUCCCAUCCCCUAUGAGGCACGCAUGGCGCCUGAGCACAUGUACUCUACCUGCAACAUGGGAGUCUCAAGGCCCACACCGUGCACGACCAUACUCACCACUCACAGAUGGCAUUGCAAGCAGUGGCACACCACCUUCACCCUGGGACUAAGCUAUGGAGCUCCUUCAACACUCCCCCAAAGUAAUCCUGGACUGCCUAGCCUCCGUACCCUAGGCUUGAGCCUGGUCCCCACGACAGCCUUCCUGGAAUGUGAGCCCUAGAGGACCUUUCUCAAACCACAGCCCAGCACCUGGACUGACCAGACUUACCAGGAAUUUCGUUGCCGGACAUACAUGGAACCAGAGGCACAGGUGACUGGCUCAUGCAGAACCCGGGGCUGGCAGUGUGGCACCUACUGGACCCACCCUCACAGCGGGACUCAGCUUCUUCUGAAAUCAGGUUGGAGGCAGGGAAAACAAAA